rnacentral:rRNA from 1 species
UACGUAGGCAGCAAGCGUUGUUCGGAGUUACUGGGCGUAAAGGGUGCGUAGGCGGCCUUUUUAAGUUUGGUGUGAAAUCUCCCGGCUCAACUGGGAGGGUGCGCCGAAUACUGAGAGGCUAGAGUGUGGGAGAGGAAAGUGGAAUUCCUGGUGUAGCGGUGAAAUGCGUAGAUAUCAGGAGGAACACCGGUGGUGUAAACGGCUUUCUGGACCAUAACUGACGCUGAGGCACGAAAGCGUGGGUAGCAAACAGG